rnacentral:rRNA from 1 species
CGGCGCCCCGAGUGGCAAUCGCGUUUAUUGGGCCUAAAGCGUCCGUAGCCGGACUGAUAAAUCCGCUGCGAAAUCGCUGCGCUUAACGUAGCGGCAUGCAGUGGAGACUGUCAGUCUCGAGACCGGGAGGAGUCAGAGGUAUGCCGUGGGGACUGGUAAAAUGGUAUAAUCCACGGUAGACCACCAAUGGCGAAGGCAUCUGACCAGAACGGAUCUGACGGUGAGGGACGAAAGCCAGGGGAGCGAACCGGAUUAGAUACCCGAGUAGUCC